UACGUAGGGUGCGAGCGUUGUCCGGAAUUAUUGGGCGUAAAGAGCUCGUAGGCGGUCUGUCGCGUCGAUCGUGAAAACUUGGGGCUUAACCCUGAGCUUGCGGUCGAUACGGGCAUGACUGGAGUUCGGCAGGGGAGACUGGAAUUCCUGGUGUAGCGGUGAAAUGCGCAGAUAUCAGGAGGAACACCGGUGGCGAAGGCGGGUCUCUGGACAGUUCCUGACACUGAGACACGAAGGCCAGGGGAGCAAACGGG
rnacentral:rRNA from 1 species